rnacentral:rRNA from 1 species
AGAGUUUGAUCCUGGCUCAGGACGAACGCUGGCGGCGUGCUUAACACAUGCAAGUCGAACGGAAAGGCCCUUCGGGGUACUCGAGUGGCGAACGGGUGAGUAACACGUGGGUGAUCUGCCCUGCACUUUGGGAUAAGCCUGGGAAACUGGGUCUAAUACCGAAUAUGACCAUGCACUUUCUGGUGUAUGGUGGAAAGCUUUUGCGGUGUGGGAUGGGCCCGCGGCCUAUCAGCUUGUUGGUGGGGUAAUGGCCUACCAAGGCGACGACGGGUAGCCGGCCUGAGAGGGUGACCGGCCACACUGGGACUGAGAUACGGCCCAGACUCCUACGGGAGGCAGCAGUGGGGAAUAUUGCACAAUGGGCGCAAGCCUGAUGCAGCGACGCCGCGUGAGGGAUGACGGCCUUCGGGUUGUAAACCUCUUUCAGCACAGACGAAGCGCAAGUGACGGUAUGUGCAGAAGAAGGACCGGCCAACUACGUGCCAGCAGCCGCGGUAAUACGUAGGGUCCGAGCGUUGUCCGGAAUUACUGGGCGUAAAGAGCUCGUAGGUGGUUUGUCGCGUUGUUCGUGAAAACUCACAGCUUAACUGUGGGCGUGCGGGCGAUACGGGCAGACUUGAGUACUGCAGGGGAGACUGGAAUUCCUGGUGUAGCGGUGGAAUGCGCAGAUAUCAGGAGGAACACCGGUGGCGAAGGCGGGUCUCUGGGCAGUAACUGACGCUGAGGAGCGAAAGCGUGGGGAGCGAACAGGAUUAGAUACCCUGGUAGUCCAA